rnacentral:lncRNA from 1 species
AGUGAUUCUCCUGCCUCAGCUCCUGAGUAGCUGGGAUUAUAGGCGCCCACCACACACCCAGCGAAUUUUUGUAUUUUUAGUAGAUACGGGUUUCACCAGGUUGGCCAGGCUGUUCUCGAACUCCUGACCUCAGGUGAUCCACCUGCCUCGGACUCCCAAAGUGCUGGGAUUACAGGCGUGAGCCACCAUGCCCGGCCUGGAAUGCAGUGGUGCGAUCUUGGCUCACUGCAACUUCCACCUCCCAGGUUCAAGCAAUUAUCCUGCCUCAGCCUCCUGAGUAGUUGGGAUUACAGGCACACGCCACCAUGCCUGGCUAAUUUUUGUAUUUUUAGUAGAGACGGGGUUUCAAGGCUGUCUCUACCAAAGACCAACCUUGUUGGCAAGGCUGGUCUCGAACUCCUGACCUCAGGUGAUUCGCCCACCUUGGCCUCCCAAAGCAUUGGGAUUACAUGCAUGAGUCAGUGUGGCUGGCUCCUUCAUCAUUUUCUUUAAGGAACCCCUGGCUAUCAUAAACUGUUUUAGGUCCCUCAUGCAGCAGAAGGUGCAAGAGAAAGGAGAGACAGCAGAAGUAAAUGAAGAAAACAGAAUUCAGUCAACUGAGAAGAAAAAAAAAAUUUGCUUAAAAAAAAGACAAGGUCCUAGGAGAGAAACAAAAAUAUGAAGGCCUUUUAAACACACACACACAUACACACACACACACACACACACACGCAUACACAUCUUGGAUGUUAGUUUUCAACUAAGCUGACUUUUAACCAUUGAGAUCAUUUGGAAAAAAAAUCUUAAAAUCUCAUGUCCAUAUUUCAGCUAGGACAAAUUGCUGCUAUUUCAGAAGUACAGCCAUUGCUGUUUCAGUUUGGCCUGGCUAGCAAAAAGGCAGCCUUGUUAUGUAAAUAAAGGCCCUUUAGUAGUCAAAGUCAAAAAUCUUUCCUCUUUUUUUUCCUUUUGCCAGCCAUUUUUCUCCCCCCACCACAUCACGUUUGUGUGUGUGUGUGUGUGUGUGUGUGUGUGUGAAUUUAGCCAUUUCAGAGGCCUUGUUUGCCAUAAUUUGGAACUUUUCUCUGGAUUUGAUCAAGUCAGAUAGAGUUGAUCAAACCCAAUGGGAAAAAGACCAACACAACAACAAAAACAGAAAGAAAUAACAACAAGAAAACAGUUAAGGAAAACAAAUAAUGACACAACUUCUAUGAUUACUGAGUGCUCCAAUGGCAAGGAGAAAUUAAGACCAGCUCGUUGUUAAACUUUAGCCAAGACAAACCCCAAUUCAGUCACUUUCCUAGGGAUGGGUCUCAGGAGAAAGAAUGCUCUCUACCAUCCUAGAAGCAGGAACAAACUCGAAUCUGUCUUCCCUGUUGGAAGGGAGCUCAAGCUCCAUAAAGGAAUUACCUGCCUUCGAAUUUCAUGGAAGCAGGAACAACUUGCCUUGAUUGUGUUGGAAGCAAGUAAAACUAAAAAAAAAAAAGAAGUUGUACAGCAAAGUAAACUUUAAAUCUUGGGAGAUCAGAGAUUCUCUGGGUGGGGGGCCUUCAGGCUUCAGCAAAUUGUCCUACUGGUUUGAGCCAUAAAGAUAGCUCAAACUGGUAUCAAGCACUGAUAAGAGAUUUGUCAAAGGUCAGGGGCACCUCCACUCAGAAUCCCUUUGUAGUUACCAAAAUGUAUACCCUGAAAAUCUGAGACAGGUCUCAGUUAAUUUAGAAAGUUCAUUUUGCCAAGGUUGAGGAUGCAUGCCUGUGACACAGCCUCAGUAAAGUGGCCUCAUCAUCUGGGGUGACACUUGAAGUUUAUUAUCUCACGUCCAUGGAGAUCAAGGCUGCAGACACACACAGAGUGACUUUAAGAGCAGAAAUUUAAUAAGUGAAAGAGAAUAGCUCUCUGCUACAGAGAGGGGUCCUAGAAAAAUGGGUUGCUGAUCCGUGGUGAAAUGCAGGGAUUUUAUAGAUGAGCUAGUGGGGAGGCAGUGUCUGAUCUACAUAGGGUGUGAAAAACCACCAGGACCAGGUGUGCCAUCUGCACAGGGUGUGAGUCUCUGGCAGCCUCUGCCCCAAUUUUUUAUUAUGCAGGUGGGUUCUGUGCCUGAACUUCUUCAUGUUGCCCAUUUCUUACUGUAUACGUGUGUAUCAUCAGGAGGUCCUGACGACAUGUGCCAAGGUGGUCAGGGGACAGCUUGGUUUUAUGCAUUUUAGGGAGACAUGAGACAUCAAUCAAUAUAUGUAACAUGUACAUUGGUUUUGUCCAGAAAGGCAAGACAACUCAAGCAGGGAGGGGGCUUCCAGGUCACAGGUAGGUGAGAGACAAAUGAGAGACAAACGGUUGCAUUCUUUUGAGUUUCUGAUUAGCUUUUCCAAAGGAGGCAAUCAGAUAUGCAUUUAUGUCAGUGAGCAGAGGGAUAAUUUUGAAUAGAAUGAAAGGCAGGUUUGCCCUAAGCAGUUCCCAGCUUAACUUUCCCUUUUAGCUUAGUGAUUUUUGGGGCUCCAAGAUUUAUUUUGCUUUCACAUAUGCCAGUACCAUGCUGUUUUGGUUGCUAUAGUUUUGUAGUAUAUUUCGAAGUUAGGUAGUGUAAUACCUCUUGCUUUGUUAUUUUCACUUAAGAUUGCUUUGACUACUUGAAGUCUUUUGUGGUUUCCUAUUCAUUUUAGGAUUAUGUGUUAUUGGUUUUUUUGUUGAGUUAUAGAAGUUCUUUAAAUAUUCUGGAUAUUAACCACCUAUCAGAUAUAUGAUUUGAAAAUCUUUUGUCCCAUUCUGUAAAUUUCCAUUUUACUUUCUUGAUAGUGUCCACAAAAGUU